UUAAUAUUUGUUAAGCCUUAGCAAGUGACGUGAGUUUUGCAAAGUGCGAACCUAUUUGUUUUUAGGUCGAUGAUUGCGCGUGUUACGGCGCCACCUGCAUCCAGACCGUUGCAGAUAUCAUCAAGCUCAAAUAAAUGGGUAUGCAGAAUGCCACACCACAGUUAUAAUUUGGUUCCCAAGAAUUAAUUUAAUUUAAGAUAUACUCCUAGAUAGGAGUGGAAAAGAGAAUUAUUGUAAUAGCCAAAUGGCAGAGAAAACAUAAAAGCAGCUGCGUGUACCAUUUAGAGAAGGAAAAGCCUCCACUGAGAUAUAAAAGUUUUACCGCUUGAAGAAAAACAGCGUUUUUAAUUGUUAUUUUGCCUGUUGAAAGGAGAUGGAAGAUAGAUUUAAAGGUCAGAAGGUAUAUUAUCUAAUAUUAUUAUGAAAGAGAUGGAUAGGUUGUGCGAUCAUUCAGAAGCUAUAUUUUAAAAAAAUAUUAUGGAAUUAUUUUUCGAAUAUGUCAUAUUUACUGUAAGGUGGAAGAUACAGUUUCGGAAGAAAUAUUAGCUAAAAUUAUUAUAGAAGUAUUAUCCCAAAUUAUCUACCAGUCAUGUUUUAAAGUAAACGAUAUUAGCGGAAUA